AUAAAAAAUUCAUUUUUUUUUUUCCCGAAAUCAAAAUCUCUUCGUUCUCUCUCUUCCAUUCUAUCUAUCCAUUUCUGUCCAUCGCCGACAACCGCCAAUUCCCUCCAUUUCAAAGCAAACCCCUUUCUCUUCUCAGCUGUUGCUUUGAACUUGAAAGGUGCUGAACUAUUCUCCAUUCUUCUAUUUUGCAAGUUUACAUCUGUUCUGCAAAUAAUUUCAUGGAUCAUGCAUUUGAGAAAUGUUGCUGGAGCUUCUUGAUCCUGAUUGCAGAAUUCCUUUGAUUACUGGAUGUAUUACCUGGUUGUCUGGAGUUGAAAUUUGAAUUUCCACCUCAGCAAAUAUUGCUUGCAUCACAAAGAAACUUUCAAUAUCAAUAGAUUUUACUUUUCAAAUUGGUUUAAUAUGUCAGAAAUUGACAUGGCGGUUAUUAAACCUGAGAUGAUGAAGCCUUAUAUCUGGCUUGAGACAUCAGAUGGUUCAAUCCAACAAGUGGAACAAGAAAUUGCAAUGUAUUGCCCUCUGAUUUGUCAAGAAAUAAUACAAAAAGGCAUGGGAUCUUCCAAGAGUUGUGCGAUAUGUCUUCCUCAACGAGUCAGUCCUGUGACGUUGAGCUUAAUUCUUGAUUAUUGUCGUUUUCAUCAAGUACCAGGUCGCUCAAACAAGGAACGAAAGUCUUAUGAUGAGAAAUUCAUUAGGAUGGACACAAAGCGGCUAUGUGAGUUGACAUCUGCUGCAGACAGCCUUCAGUUGAAGCCAUUGGUUGAUCUUACAAGUCGUGCACUUGCUCGGAUAAUUGAAGGAAAAUCUCCAGAGGAGAUACGUGAGAUAUUUCAUCUGCCUGAUGAUCUUACUGAGGAAGAGAAGUUGGAGCCCUUGAAAAACACAACUGAUGACCCAAGGAUCAGGCUUUUGAAUAGAUUGUAUGCCAAAAAGAGGAAAGAACUAAGAGAGCGUGAGAGGUUAAAGAAUGUUGAAGUUGAAGAAGAGCAUGUAGAUGAGCGUUCAGUUGAUGACCUUUUGUCUUUUAUUAAUGGAAAUGAUGGAGAUCCAAAGGAAGUUAAAACUUCUAAGAAUAAAAAGAAAAAUAGAAGGAAAAAAGAGCAACAACAGAAGAACUCUUCUCUGAAGGAAGCUUCUGAAGUGAACAAGGUUGAAGUAAAUGGUCAAAGUAUCAGACACCAAAGUGCUGAAGCUGAUAGAAUUGCUGAGACCUCAAAUUCACAUACAGAAGAUGUAUUUGCUCAUAGAGAAUUUGAUGAUGGAGAUAUAGAUGAUGGGAUUGAUCCUGCGCUAAAGGAAAAAAUUGACAGCAUAGUUGCAGUGGCAGAUCACUAGCUUUUCUUCUCAUUAGUGAUCAGUAGCAUUGGUGAAUAUAUUUUGUGUGGAGUAUAGCAUAUGCAGAGGACAAGGCAUCGGAAUGAUUGAAUUCUAUCCUUCUACAAAUUGUACUUUUUGAGUCAUCUAUUGCUGGUUGAAUAUGGCAUGAAGUGCUUGCGUACUUGUGUUUAUCACAGAGAGGGAGACAUGGCAAUGCUAAUUUAUUGGAUUUCACACCUUUUUGGAGAAUGAUAAAUUUAGGAAGUGGAAGAUUUUGCCCGCCGAUUGAAUUCUGACUGGCCAGAGAGGAUGCAAGAACUUUUAUCUUCAGGACAAGAAAGGAAGAUGAUGCUUUUUACUCCCAACGGAAAUAGUUUUCUGAGGCGAAAUGCUU